UUAACCCAUUUAACAACUCAACCCAUCAAAUUAAAUGAGUUAUGGGUUGACCCAACCCAUUUAACAAAAUGAGUUGGGUCAACCCAUAAGUCAUUUAACAAAAUGAGUUGGGUCAACCCAUAACUCAUUUAACCCUAAACUCAUUUGAUUAUAAGU
rnacentral:pre_miRNA from 1 species